AGCUCGCCGCCGGGCUGGGCACUGAGGCCUUUGGAGGGUGCGAGCGUCAGCUGGCCGGGAAGCCGGCGAGCCGCCGGGACAGGAUAGUGGGCCGAGCCGCAGGCCUCCGCUGUCCUUCCCGAAAAGAAAAGAAGGAGCCGCUCGCCAGUCCCCGCGGCCUGCGGAGGCCGGUGAGGGAGACGCCGAGGAGCACUGAGGCUCUGUGGGCGCCGCCGCCAUGGCCGCCAUGAUGGAGCGGAAGUGAACUUCGGGCGCAGGCUGCCGGCGACAGCGCUUCGGUCGAGCUGCUCCGGGGUGCGCGGCGCUGCGGAGCCCGGACCUUCCGGCCCUCGCGACCCUGCCUCUUGGCUCCCCUCGCUUACCCCAAGACUGAGCGGCUUGGAGAGGCGCCCGGCCUGCGGACCCGGCUUCCAGAAAGAUGGCGGACCCGGCGGAGUGCAACAUCAAAGUGAUGUGUCGCUUCAGACCUCUCAACGAAUCUGAAGUGAACCGCGGCGAUAAGUACGUCGCCAAAUUCCAGGGAGAAGACACGGUGAUGAUCGCGUCCAAGCCUUAUGCCUUUGAUCGUGUGUUCCAGUCAAGCACAUCUCAAGAGCAAGUAUACAACGACUGCGCAAAAAAGAUUGUUAAAGAUGUUCUUGAGGGCUAUAAUGGAACAAUAUUUGCAUAUGGACAAACAUCAUCUGGGAAGACCCACACGAUGGAGGGUAAACUUCAUGAUCCAGAAGGCAUGGGAAUUAUUCCAAGAAUAGUGCAAGAUAUUUUUAAUUAUAUUUACUCCAUGGAUGAAAAUUUGGAAUUUCAUAUUAAGGUUUCAUAUUUUGAAAUAUAUUUGGAUAAGAUAAGGGACUUGUUAGAUGUUUCAAAGACUAACCUUUCAGUCCAUGAAGACAAAAACCGUGUUCCCUAUGUAAAGGGGUGCACAGAACGUUUCGUGUGUAGUCCAGAUGAAGUUAUGGAUACCAUAGAUGAAGGGAAAUCCAACAGACAUGUAGCAGUUACAAAUAUGAAUGAACAUAGCUCUAGGAGUCACAGUAUAUUUCUUAUUAAUGUAAAACAAGAGAAUACGCAAACGGAACAGAAACUCAGUGGAAAGCUUUAUCUGGUUGAUUUAGCUGGCAGUGAAAAGGUCAGUAAAACUGGAGCUGAAGGUGCUGUGCUGGAUGAAGCUAAGAACAUCAACAAGUCACUUUCUGCACUUGGCAAUGUCAUUUCUGCUUUGGCAGAGGGCAGUACCUAUGUUCCUUAUCGAGAUAGUAAAAUGACCAGAAUUCUUCAAGAUUCAUUAGGUGGCAACUGUAGGACCACUAUUGUCAUUUGCUGCUCUCCGUCAUCGUACAAUGAGUCUGAGACAAAGUCAACACUCCUCUUUGGUCAAAGGGCCAAAACAAUUAAGAACACAGUGUGUGUCAAUGUUGAGUUAACUGCAGAGCAGUGGAAAAAGAAGUAUGAAAAAGAAAAGGAAAAAAAUAAGACUCUACGGAACACCAUUCAGUGGCUGGAAAACGAGCUAAACCGAUGGCGUAACGGUGAGACAGUGCCUAUCGAUGAGCAGUUUGACAAAGAGAAAGCUAAUUUGGAAGCCUUCACAGCAGAUAAAGAUAUUGCUAUUACCAGUGAUAAACCAGCUGCUGCAGUUGGAAUGGCUGGUAGUUUUACUGAUGCUGAAAGAAGAAAGUGUGAAGAAGAAAUUGCUAAAUUGUAUAAACAACUUGAUGACAAGGAUGAAGAGAUUAACCAACAAAGCCAACUGGUGGAGAAAUUGAAGACACAAAUGCUGGAUCAGGAAGAGCUUCUGGCAUCAACCAGAAGGGAUCAAGAUAAUAUGCAAGCUGAACUGAAUCGCCUCCAAGCAGAAAAUGAUGCUUCUAAAGAAGAAGUCAAAGAAGUUUUACAGGCCUUAGAGGAACUGGCUGUUAAUUAUGAUCAGAAGUCUCAGGAAGUUGAAGACAAAACAAAGGAAUAUGAAUUACUUAGUGAUGAAUUGAAUCAAAAAUCUGCAACUUUAGCAAGUAUUGAUGCUGAGCUUCAGAAGCUGAAGGAAAUGACCAACCACCAGAAGAAACGAGCAGCUGAAAUGAUGGCAUCAUUAUUAAAAGACCUUGCAGAAAUAGGAAUUGCUGUGGGAAAUAACGAUGUGAAGCAACCAGAAGGAACUGGUAUGAUAGAUGAAGAGUUUACUGUUGCAAGGCUCUACAUUAGCAAAAUGAAAUCAGAAGUAAAGACCAUGGUGAAACGCUGCAAACAGCUAGAAAGCACACAGACUGAGAGCAACAAAAAAAUGGAAGAAAAUGAGAAGGAGUUAGCAGCAUGCCAGCUUCGGAUCUCCCAACAUGAAGCCAAAAUCAAGUCACUCACUGAGUACCUUCAAAAUGUAGAACAAAAGAAGAGACAACUGGAGGAAUCUGUUGAUUCCCUCGGUGAGGAACUAGUCCAACUCCGAGCACAAGAGAAAGUCCAUGAAAUGGAAAAAGAGCACUUGAACAAAGUUCAGACUGCAAAUGAAGUCAAGCAAGCUGUUGAACAGCAGAUCCAGAGUCACAGAGAAACCCACCAAAAACAAAUCAGUAGUUUGCGAGAUGAAGUUGAGGCAAAGGAAAAGCUAAUCACUGAGCUCCAAGACCAAAACCAGAAGAUGGUAUUGGAGCAGGAGCGGCUAAGAGUGGAGCAUGAGAGGCUGAAGGCUACAGACCAAGAGAAGAGCAGGAAGCUGCAUGAGCUCACGGUUAUGCAAGACAGACGAGAACAAGCAAGACAAGACUUGAAGGGUUUGGAGGAGACUGUGGCAAAAGAACUUCAGACUCUACACAACCUGCGUAAGCUCUUUGUUCAGGACUUGGCUACCAGGGUGAAAAAGAGCGCCGAGGUGGACUCUGACGACACUGGCGGCAGUGCUGCACAGAAGCAGAAAAUCUCCUUCCUUGAAAACAAUCUGGAACAGCUCACCAAAGUGCACAAGCAGUUGGUACGUGAUAAUGCAGAUCUUCGCUGUGAGCUUCCUAAGUUAGAGAAACGGCUUAGAGCUACUGCAGAGAGAGUGAAAGCUUUGGAGUCAGCCCUGAAAGAAGCCAAAGAAAAUGCAUCUCGAGACCGCAAACGCUAUCAGCAAGAAGUAGACCGGAUAAAGGAAGCAGUCAGGUCAAAGAAUAUGGCCAGAAGGGGACAUUCUGCACAGAUUGCAAAGCCUAUCCGUCCUGGACAGCAUCCAGCAGCCUCUCCAACUCACCCAGGCACAGUUCGUGGAGGAGGCUCAUUUGUUCAGAACAACCAGCCAGUGGGGCUUCGAGGUGGUGGAGGCAAGCAGUCGUAAACACUGACACAUUGCAGGUGUUGAAAAGUAAUUGAAGUUUGAAGAGGACAUAAAAUCAGUCUUUCACUAACUAACCUCUAUUUCUUGGGAUUGUAGAAAUUUAAUUUUUUAAUGUGUAAAUUACUCCUAGCCUGUACAGCUGUUUCCUACCCACUCUUGUAAACUCUGCUGCUUCCCAAUACUAGAGUGCAAUUUUGAUGUCCUAGAAGGGAAAUGACAGUUUACAACUGUGGCCCUAUUUAUUACACAGUUUGUCCUGCGCAUCUUACUGUGCUGAGUUACUGUGUUGCGGGACAGUGCUCCUUGUUGCCUUUUCUGGGUAUGUGUAAUCUUGGUUUACAUUACCUAGCUGCUAUUGCUUUUCACUUUCCCUUUUCUACUAAGGAGGCUUUUUUUUUUUUUAAAGGAAAUACGGAACAUUUAGAUUAAAUGUCUUAAAUUUUACUACUUAUAACACUACUUGCCACAAACUAUAUCAAGUCAGUCAGUACUGUAUUUUAAAAAUCCCUCGAGCGAGGUAUGGUGGCAUACAUCUUUACUCCCAGGCAGAGGCAGAUGGAUGACUGUCAGUUCGAGUUCAGCCUGCUCUCCAUAGUGAGUUUCAGGACCCUGUCUCAAAAAUCAAAAAAUAAAAAAAUUAAUUAACUUAAAAAUAAAUAAAAAAUCCCUUGAAAAUAUUAGGGUUUAUGUUGCUGGUAUAGUCUCUGAAGCUUGCCUCUGAAAACGUUGAGCUUUUUCAAGACUGAACAGGCUCUAUUAUAUUAGCUCAUGAGAUGUCUGUUGCAUAUUACUUUGAAUACAAAUAUCUUACCUAUCAAAAAUGAAUCUCAUGUUAAAUGAGUUUGGAAGUACUAUAUCCCUACUUUCUACUUCUGCACUUAACAUAGCUUAAUGUGCCCUGCUUUAUUGUGUUAUAUCUGCCUGCUAAAAUAAGAAUUGAACAGAAGCUAAUAUCAUCUUUAAUAUUAGGAAAUAAGUGGAUUAAGACAUUAUAGAAUUAAAUAAUUUUCAAAUGUUAAAUAAUUGUAUUGACUGAUAAAUUUAUAGNCUUUGAAAAGUGAGAAAAAUUGUGAACAGGACAGAUGAAGUAUAAAUUUAAAACUACGUGGUUAAUUUUGCUCUGAAAUCUUGAAGGUGGUUUUCACCUGUUAUACUAAAUCAUACACUAUAAUUUGUUUAGUUAGAAAUAGUAAACUGUUUGCAAGUCACUAGUAAUUCUCAAAAAAAAAUAUUGUUGGCCAUAGUGAAUAAUUUUCAAAUUAGAACUAAGUGUGUACCUAUGUUUGGCACUUAAUUUUUCAGAUAAUUAAACUCAAUCAAGUCUAUUUUAAGGAUCUAUAAAAGUAACAGGAAAGGAUUUCAACACCUGCAUCCUCAGUGCUUGGGGUAACUGCAGCCGUGGGGUAACUGCAGCCGUCCGCAGAGCCACAGGGAAUGGAGUGUCUGAGGCUAUUGAUAAGUAGACAAGCUUGGAAGGGCUGGGUUAGAAUCUGGCUGGCAGAAUCUUUGGAAAAGUUUUAUAUACAGAUAUUUGUAUUAUUAAAUUUGGAGCCAUAGUCAGAAGACUCAGAUCAUAAUUGGCUUNUUUUUCUAUUUCCUUAACUAUUGUAAUUUCCACUUUUAUAAUAAUUUUGAUUUGAAAAAUAAAUUUAUUUAUUUUUUUAACAGUCAAAAUCUUUGCUGUUGUAGUCUGCAGCCUUUAAUGAUUGAGUUGCUUUUAUGAUUGAAAGACGCACUCCACAGAUUGAAGAGAGAGCAGGAUGCAGCAAGGUGUAAGUCAUGGUUAGAGACGUGCAGGCUCCUGUGCUCAUCGCUCUCUCUGCGAGGCAUCUGGCUGCAUCCAUAAGGAUGUUCUUUCCAAAUGAAAAUUUGCUUCUCUGGCAGUUUUCAUAAUGGAAAAAAAUUCUCCUUUGUCUGAGUGUAGAAGUUUUAAGAUGUAUCAUGGGUAUUGGUGCUUGUAUAACACACAAUGAAUUGUAACUAGCAUGUUGUUAAGAAAACACGUUGUUAGUUUUUUUAAUCUUAUAUGUUUCUUUUCUAUUUAUAAUUUCAAACUUUCAUAAAGUAUACUAAGAAUUUCAUAAAUUUCUUUUCAGUGAACUGAACUCUUUUUUGCAAUGAUAGGCCAUUAAAUAUAGCAUUCACACAAAAUGGACAUUUUUAAUCACCUAGAAUAUUGAAAAUAUUUUAAUUUGCAGUGUCUUUUUUUUGUGACUGGAUAUAUUAAUGUUCCUCUGAGUGGUAUUGGUAAUUGGUUCAGAAGAGAAACUCAAAUGAAAUAAAAAUAGUAUUUAUUCAUGGUGAUCAAGUAAAUUAUUUGACUAAUUUAAGGAAACUAAAUACUAUGCAUAACUGAAUUUAUUUGCACCUCUCAGUUUGAUUAAGGUAACAGAAGAGAGUCUAAGUCUACCUGUGGAAUAUGUUGUUUUAUUUUCAGGGUUUAGGAUUACAUUUAAACAUAAUUGGUUUGGGAAAACGACAUAUAAUUUUAAGUUAACCUGCAUGCUGUAAAUGUGUUUAAAUAAAGGAAAAUCUUUUU